CGCCGCCUCCCCACAGGCGGGGGCCGGGACCGGGACCGGCCGGGGAGGGCGCGGCCGCCGCUGCCUGGCGCCGAAGGGAUAGGGGACCGCGCAGGGCGGGGGCGGCCGUGUCCGCAGGGUGCCGAGCGCCGUGGGAACCGAGUUUUCACUCCACGUGUGAUUUCAAGACGGGGUCCUCAAGGACCGGACGGAAUCCCUUAUAAUCCUGUGUAAUUUGAGUGCCCCUGCCUCGCUGCUUGGAAAAUCUCAGCGCCCCCCCCCCAUGCCGGAGAAGGCUGAAAGAAAGCUUUUGUUUUUAUUUAUUAUUUUUGUUGUUGUCGUUCCUCCCUUACUCGGCGCUCGCUAGACCACAUCCAGUGUAACACACGGCCCCAGGUUUGGGUCCCCAGGGCAGGAAGGACUUGGAGAAGCUGGAGCAAGCUCAGCAGAGGGCUCCAGGACGGAUCAUGCUGGAGACCUCCCUGCGAGGAGGGUGGAGGAGCGUGACAACUGCAGCCAUGGCAGGGAUAAAAGAACACCCUCGGGCUGCAAGGGAUAUUGGUCAGGUGGGACCAUGGUCUCCGUUGCCGUGCACGGCUGGAGGGCGACCCCAGAGCUGCUGCAUUGUGCUUCCCUCCCUGGGUCAGAGCUGACAUCUGAAAACAACACAGAAGUCUGGAUGGGUGUGUCACAAGAGCCCGGGCUGUAGUUCCUUGCCUUCUGAAGUGACUGAUUCUCCCAGGAGUUUCAGACAUGAGCUUGGUUCUGCAAACAGGAACAAAUCAGUUGCUAAUAACUAUUUUCCUGAUGCUGAGGCCUUCUACAUGUGUGCAGGAUCAGAGCACUAAGAUAAUGUUACAGACCCCAACCUGAGCACAUGUCAGAAAUCAGAAGGAGGAAAUAAGUCUUUCAGUAAUAAUAAUAUCUCCACAUUCACAGGCAGAUAAGGCUUUUCCUGCUUUCUGCUCAUUUAAAAUGCUGUUAUUAUGCUUAGACUAUAAUAAAUACAACAUGUGUUAGACA
rnacentral:lncRNA from 1 species